rnacentral:rRNA from 1 species
AACGCUGGCGGCAGGCCUAACACAUGCAAGUCGAGCGGUAACAGGAAUUAGCUUGCUAAUUCGCUGACGAGCGGCGGACGGGUGAGUAAUGCCUGGGAAUAUGCCUUAGUGUGGGGGAUAACUAUUGGAAACGAUAGCUAAUACCGCAUAACGUCUUCGGACCAAAGAGGGGGACCUUCGGGCCUCUCGCGCUAAGAUUAGCCCAGGUGGGAUUAGCUAGUUGGUGAGGUAAAGGCUCACCAAGGCAACGAUCCCUAGCUGGUCUGAGAGGAUGAUCAGCCACACUGGAACUGAGACACGGUCCAGACUCCUACGGGAGGCAGCAGUGGGGAAUAUUGCACAAUGGGGGAAACCCUGAUGCAGCCAUGCCGCGUGUAUGAAGAAGGCCUUCGGGUUGUAAAGUACUUUCAGUCGUGAGGAAGGCAUUGUAGUUAAUAGCUGCAGUGCUUGACGUUAGCGACAGAAGAAGCACCGGCUAACUCCGUG